ensembl:lncRNA
CCCCUCAUCCGCUCCAGAAGGGAGGCUAGAGACAAGAGGGAGAGGCAGCUAAGAUCGAAAUGGGGCCGACACUCUGCCUCUCCCCAGGCCCGACGGGCCCCUCAGUUCUGAAGGCGGAAGGGGUGAUCAUCAUCCGCCUGCAUGAAAUAGUAGAAAAAGGCCAGAAAGAGAGCAAAAGCGAUGAAGAGAAGGAACUGGACCCAAAGGGGCACCAAUCUGCUGUUCUUUUCUGCCUUGGCCCCAGGGCCUUGGCCAGCCAUAAUAGGCGGAGGGCGUGGCUCCGCAGCCAAGAGGGCGGGCCCUAGGCCCGGGGCCUCUCCCCGAGGAAAGGGCCACUAAAAGGACCUAAGGAGGCCGAAGCCCGGCGGGUCUCGCCUCCGGGUACCCCGUGUUGACACUGCCCAGGUUUUUCUGCGUUUCCCCUUAUUUGGGCGGCCCUGCAGCGAUUUCUUUCCCUCCAGUGAAAACCCCCAAUCGUAGGACAUCAGCCUUCCCAAAAGGUGGCCACACUGUCCCGACACAGCCCAAUAAACAGCGCCGAAAGAACUCUCGGCAGCUUGAUGCGCUGCGGCCGAGGCCUGGGAGGACCUGGGAGGGCAGUCCAGCCGGGGGCAUUGAGCGCCUUUCCCUGGUGGCUGCCCCUCUGGACCAGCCCCAGAAGCCCAGUAGGCCCCUGGCUCAGGGCCAGCCAGAGCAAUGGGCGCAAACAGCCCAGCCCUCUGAUGCCACCGCCGAGGCAGCCAUCUGUACCUGAAGGGGCCAGAGCACAGACUGGCCUCCCUCCCAGCCUUUCGGACCCAAGGCUAGGUUGCACCAGAGCAAGCCAGGGAGCAGGAAGCCCCGGGCCGCUGACCUUCAAAGAGACUGGCUCGCCCCCUUCGGCGGGUCACUUGGCACAGAGACCUAGGCUAGCAAACGAGAAAUUGCCCAGCAGAGGAGGCCGAAACACUUCGACAUCCAACCUGGACCAGAGAAAGGGGAUGGAGGCAGAAAGUGAGCAAUAGAGGAGAACAAAGAGAAGACUAACAGGAGGGAGAAGCAGAGAGGGCAGCAGCAGAAGCAGAUGUGGCCUCUCUACCUGAGCCCUGUAACACAAAGGGAAGUGACUCAACUCCAGAGCAGGCCCAGAACCCUGCGGAUUUGGACAAAGACACAGAACUGCAGCACACUGUUCCUGAGUGGUUUAAAAGAGGAAAAACCAAUCUGUCCAUGAGAAUGUAUCAGCCACCUACUAUGGUCCACAACACUGUGCCAAAAGCUGGAGAUCCAAAGAGAGGCAAAAGGAAAAGGCCCUGCCCUCAGGCACUGAAAUGUGGCCAGGGUGCAAAGGCAGCCCAAUGACUUCCUGUCCAAACCCUGCUUAACUUCGGGGCUGGACACAGCCAGCAGUCCCCAGAACCCUUCCCUUCACAACACUUGGCGGGACUCACCAGCGUACUUUCACUCUUCUCUGGAAGUUGCUUGUCCUGUCUAUAAAAGCAGCAGGCUGGCCUCCCUCAGCUGCUUGCUGCCUUGGUUUGCCAAUAAAAUAUGUUGUACCUCACUUUUCCCCA